rnacentral:lncRNA from 1 species
AGCACACACGUGCAGAAGGAAAGAGCGCCCAUGCUGAGCAUCGGUGGAUCCGUGGGGCCCUCCACUACCCUUCCUCCUACCGCUCCAGCUUCCAUUCAGACUGUUUAUUCAUUGACUGCAUGACUAAGAUCAGCAAUCAGAUAAAAUACAGGUGGGAGGACAGCUAAUGAGAUGCCACGUUAGAUAUUGCCAGCUAAGUGUAAUUUGUAGAAGGGAAGGAAGAGGACCAUAUCAUUUCCAGCACCUUAGGGAGGCAGCAGCUAAGAUGCAGCUCCAUCCAUGAAUCCCAGUAACGUUUUUCCAAAGAGAAAGGAAAUCACAUUCAAAACCCUAAGCGAAUCACUUCAAAAACCAUAGCCAGGGAUUCUAAUUGUGGGGGCUAUGCUGUCAUGAAACUGGAAGGCCACAGGAAGAGAUCCCCAUUUCCUAGCUGGGAAGAGGCUAGAUAGUGUCUUGGUGUUUUGAGGAAACAGAAUAUGAUGCAUCAAGGAGCUGGAGGACUUAGGAAGAGAGGAGUUCACUUCAUUAUUUUCUGGAAAAACAAACAAAACCACUUCAAAAAAUAGACCCAGGGUCAAAAUAUUUCAGUGUCCCUUUGGUCACUAUCAGCUUAGCUUAACAGCUAAGCAAGAAAUCUUUUUUUUCCCUUUCAAAUGGACUUACAAAAAGAAAAUUCGGUAUGUAAAACCUUUUGAUUAAUGACUUACUCUUUACUCUUUUUUUUUUUUUUUUUUUUUUUCCAGGGAAUGGAAGUUCAUUCAUAAAGCUUCAGGAACCAAAACUUUUUAAAUAAUGAGUGAUUUUGAAGCCUCGAACACAUGAUGCUAAAUUGGAGACAGGACUUUGGAUGAUAGAUGGGGAAACGGAAGAACGAGCAAUUAAACACAGUUCCCAGACAUCGACUGGCUCCAGUGAAGUCUAUGAUGCCUAAGGGAUGUGGACGAAACCCCAAAGCACAUGCAGUGAUUGGACCAAGUCCUUGUUUCUCCCCUGGACCUGGCGUCUGGACUUGCCCAUGCUCUAGAUUUAAGCUUUCCCAGUAAUGCAAAGCAGUGCUGUUAUAAUAGUAAGCUAUCAUAACACAAGAACCUCAGCCUCUGCU